rnacentral:rRNA from 1 species
CAGGAUUAGAUACCCUGGUAGUCCACGCUGUAAACGAUGAGUACUAGGUGUCGGGGGUUACCCCCCUCGGUGCCGCAGCUAACGCAUUAAGUACUCCGCCUGGGAAGUACGCUCGCAAGAGUGAAACGCAAAGGAAUUGACGGGGACCCGCACAAGUAGCGGAGCAUGUGGUUUAAUUCGAAGCAACGCGAAGAACCUUACCUAAGCUUGACAUCCCAAUGACAUCUCCUUAAUCGGAGAGUUCCCUUC